rnacentral:rRNA from 1 species
GUCUACGGCCACACCACCCUGAGCACACCUGAUCUUGUCUGAUCUUGGAAGCUAAGCAGGGUGGGGCCUGAUUAGCACUUGGGGCAGCUAGGUGGCGCAGUGGAUA